UGUUUGUUUAUAGAGGUUUUCUAUUAUUAGUUUUGUAUUUACUUUUUUAUUGCAUUUAGUACAUUUCAAAGUAACGAAAGGGAUUUAUGAUGAAGGAUUUCAUUUCACUGUUCAAUGCUAACAGUACUUACUGAGCACAGACCUUAUAAUUUUAUCAAUUUGCUUAAUUUGAGUUUUUACCUGUAAAAAAAUUAUUUUUUAAUUAUUAUUAUUUUUUUAUUAAAUACUUAUAGUUUUUGUCAAUAAUUAAUAAGAACUACCUUAAAUAUAUAACAUUACAUAGUUAAAAAAAUUAUAUUAAUUUAUUUAUAACUUUAGUUUAAGUUCCUGAUAGAAAUAUGUUAUCUUUACACAUUGCUCAAUUAUUUUAAAACAUCUAAUUUGAAUAUGACUAAUUAUAGAGUAGAAUAUAGUUUGAUGAUUAUAUUAUGCUCUGUUUUAUUUUCUUAAACUGUAUUUUAGAUUUUUUUACACUGUAUUUUAGAUUUUUUACACUGUAUUUUAGAUUUUUUUACAUUUUAGAUAAUUUUACAUUUUAGAUUUGCUUACACUGUAUUUUAGAUAAAAGUUUAAAAAAGAAAACUCAAAGUUCAAUCUAAAAAUUAAAUUUCAACUUUUAUUAUUUUAGGUAUCAUUUUUACACACUCCUUUGAUGCUUAAUUAUGUGUGAUAAUUUAAGAAGUAUAAUUAUUAGACUUCCUUAAAAUAAAAGAAAUCCGGGCAGGCGAGCUUAAAUAAAUCGUUGUCAAAAUGAAAUAAAUGAGCUUAGGCGAGCUGAGAUGAAUCGUAAUCAAAAUGAAAGAAAUCAGGCUAGGCGAGAACUCAAUAGAUUUUGACUAUUUUCAACAAUGCUCUAUUUUCAACAAUGCUCUAUUAAUCAAAUGACGUGUUUGUUCAAUAUAGACAUACAGUUAAGAACUAUUAAAAAUUGUUAUGUUUUGUUAAUUUGGCAAUAAAUGUGUAAAUAAAAUAAUCUAUAAUAAAAAAUGAAUUUUUCUAAAAGCAACGUUUUUUAAGCCAACUAAAAAGUAGAAAAUAAUUUUUAUUUGAGCUUGUCAGAAUGUCUGAUUAUAAUUUAUCUUAUAAUGAUGACAGAUUUUAUAACAAAUUUGAUACACGUAAAACAAAAAACGUUUUAUAAGAUAAAGGAUUGGUGCAUGUUAUAAGAUAAAAGAUUGGUGCAUGUUAUAAGAUAAAGGAUUGGUGCAUGUUAUAAGAUAAAAGAUUGGUGCAUGUUAUAAGAUAAAAGAUUAGUGCAUGUUAUAAGAUAAAGGAUUGGUGCAUGUUAUAAGAUAAAAGAUUGGUGCAUUAUAAGAUAAAAGGUUGGUGCAUGUUAUAAGAUAAAGGAUUGGUGCAUGUUAUAAGAUAAAGGAUUGGUGCAUGUUAUAAGAUAAAAGAUUAGUGAUCGACUAACACUUAACGGUUUACGUUAAUCAUACAUCAGUGCAAUAUUUACACUGAUCAUUAAAAUGGCCAACUAUAUUUAAAUUAUAAUAGAUACACUUAAAUAAAUCUACACAAACAAAGCAUUAAAUCAAAUUUUAUACUGCAUAAUGUCAUAAUAUUAUCAAAUCACAACUUGUGCCCAACGUUUUUUGUUUUACGUGUAUCAAAUUUGUUAUAAAAUCUGUCAUCAAGAGGAAUAUAAUCAGACAUUUUGGCAAAAAAGUUGUUUCUAGAAAAAUUCAUUUUUUAUUGCAGAUUAUUUUUUACUUUUUAGAUUUGCUUGGUUAGAAUAUUUGAAACGAUUUAAAAUAUGGAAUAUUUCACUUAUCCUUAACACUUUUUUUUACUAA